CUGUAAGGUAGGUAUAUUACCUUCAGUUUCCAGAUCAAGAAACUGAAGUGCACAGAAGUUUGAAGUAACUUACUCAAACCACUUCACUAAUAACCAGGGUAGGCAGGACUCAAAUACAGACAGUUUGCCUCCAAAAUACAUGGUCCUAAUCACCUCCCUAUGUUGUGUCCAUGCAGUCACGAGUUUGGCAUGAGGAGAGCUGGAGGAAGAGCCCAGGAGACAGUGAAGAGGAAGCAAGAGGCUGUAUAUGUAGCCAGCUGGGUUUGGGGGCACCUCAUGAGUAUCCCAUAGCACAAACGGGCAAACUCUGUUACUGGCACAUUAACUAAAAGACAAAACUCCACAUAAACCUGAGUCCUUCCAACCAACCCGGAGACUUACCCAAAUCUAAUCUAAAUAACAACAACAAAAAAGAAAAAAUCACUAUGAGCCUGUAAGUCAUUAAGGG
rnacentral:lncRNA from 1 species